rnacentral:rRNA from 1 species
CCUACGGGAGGCAGCAGUAAGGAAUAUUGGUCAAUGGGCGCAAGCCUGAACCAGCCAUGCCGCGUGCAGGAAGACGGCCCUAUGGGUUGUAAACUGCUUUUGAACAAGAGAAAACCUCGGUACGUGUACCGAGCUGAUAGUAUUGUUAGAAUAAGCAUCGGCUAACUUCGUGCCAGCAGCCGCGGUAAGACGAAGGAUGCAAGCGUUAUCCGGAUUCAUUGGGUUUAAAGGGUGCGUAGGCGGCCUGAUAAGUCAGUGGUGAAAUCUCUCAGCUUAACUGAGAAACUGCCAUUGAUACUGUCGGGCUUGAGUACAGAUGAUGUGGGCGGAAUAUGACAUGUAGUGGUGAAAUACUUAGAUAUGUCAUAGAACACCGAUUGCGAAGGCAGCUCACAAAACUAGUAACUGACGCUGAGGCACGAAAGUGCGGGGAUCAAACAGGAUUAGAUACCCUGGUAGUCCGCACCGUAAACGAUGAUUACUCGUUGUUGGCAAUAUGACCGUCAGCGACCAAGCGAAAGCGAUAAGUAAUCCACCUGGGGAGUACGCCGGCGAACGGUGAAACGUUAAAUAGAAUUGACGG